rnacentral:rRNA from 1 species
GGGGUGCAACACGAGGACUUCCCAGGAGGUCACCCAUCCUAGUACUACUCUCGCCCAAGCACGCUUAACUGCGGGGUUCUGAU